rnacentral:rRNA from 2 species
UGCAAGUCGAGCGGUGAAGGGGAGCUUGCUCCCCGGAUCAGUGGCGAACGGGUGAGUAACACGUGGGCAACCUGCCCCUGACUUCGGGAUAACGCUUCGAAAGAGGUGCUAAUACCGAAUAUGAACGCGAAGGACAUCCUUUGCGUUGGAAAGUUUUUCGGUCAGGGAUGGGCCCGCGGCCUAUCAGCUAGUUGGUGAGGUAAUGGCUCACCAAGGCGACGACGGGUAGCCGGCCUGAGAGGGCGACCGGCCACACUGGGACUGAGACACGGCCCAGACUCC